UGCCAGCAGCCGCGGUAAGACGGAGGGUGCAAGCGUUACUCGGAAUCACUGGGCGUAAAGGGUGCGUAGGCGGCGUGUUAAGUUGGAUGUGAAAUCCCUCAGCUCAACUGAGGAACUGCGUCCAAGACUGGCAUGCUAGAGGUCGGUAGGGGACAGUGGAACUCCAGGUGGAGCGGUGAAAUGCGUAGAGAUCUGGAGGAACGCCGGUGGCGAAAGCGACUGUCUGGGCCGUACCUGACGCUGAGGCACGAAAGCCAGGGGAGCGAACGGGAUUAGAUA
rnacentral:rRNA from 1 species